rnacentral:tRNA from 1 species
GUCGGAAUGGCUGAGUUAGGCGGUAAACUGUAAAUUUAUUCACGAGAAAAUUUUCUCUUCCUGCA